rnacentral:rRNA from 1 species
GAUGAACGCUGGCGGCGUGCCUAAUACAUGCAAGUCGAGCGAACGGACGAGAAGCUUGCUUCUCUGAUGUUAGCGGCGGACGGGUGAGUAACACGUGGAUAACCUACCUAUAAGACUGGGAUAACUUCGGGAAACCGGAGCUAAUACCGGAUAAUAUUUUGAACCGCAUGGUUCAAAAGUGAAAGACGGUCUUGCUGUCACUUAUAGAUGGAUCCGCGCUGCAUUAGCUAGUUGGUAAGGUAACGGCUUACCAAGGCAACGAUGCAUAGCCGACCUGAGAGGGUGAUCGGCCACACGGGAACUGAGACACGGUCCAGACUCCUACGGGAGGCAGCAGUAGGGAAUCUUCCGCAAGGGGCGAAAGCCUGACGGAGCAACGCCGCGUGAGUGAUGAAGGUCUUCGGAUCGUAAAACUCUGUUAUUAGGGAAGAACAUAUGUGUAAGUAACUGUGCACAUCUUGACGGUACCUAAUCAGAAAGCCACGGCUAACUACGUG